ensembl:lncRNA
CCAUUCUGCUUCUUUUGGACUUCACUGGGUGUGACUAGAGUAGAAAAAGGACUUGGACACUCAGCAAUUGGAAUUUUGGAAGAUUUCUUAGAAGAAAGAAUCCUUCAUGGGAUUUGAAAGGAGCCAGUCAGGAAUGACAAGUUCCAAAGUUAUUUCUUAAAACCAUAACCUCAAGUUAUGAGCAUUUGGGUCUUAUUUGGUAGGAUGAGGGUGGGAAGAUGCAGCCUAUCUGUAGUUUCAUUCCUGUCACAGGCUUGCAUGUGUGUGUAGCUAUUUCCCCUGCAAAGGAAGCAAAGGAAGCAGGAGCAGUGUCUUGAUACCCUCUGGGACAAGCUCCACCCAUGGACAAACAGCCACAGCAGAGGAGGAAGAACCUAAGGGACUACUACUCACCUGAAAUAAGGGAGUAGGGUGAUGGCUAGUUUUCUGGAAUAAUUUGUUCCAUUGGGAAUUUCUGGAAAGCUGAGGAUCUACUCAAGAGAAAGCACAGCUACACAACCCCCCCCCCCAACUUCAGAAGGUCCAUGGCCCUAGGCUAAGAACCAGCAUUUUGUAUAUUUUACAUGUUCCUUCCUCAGGGAUUGAACUAAGGAUCUUGUGCUUGCCAGGCAGGUGCAGUGCCACAGAGCUACAUCCCCACCACAAAAUCUGUUUUUGGAGAAUGAGCAGCCUGAGUGUGGAUGGACAUUCUGACAAGCAGCACAAGGAAGAUCAUGACAGAGUUAUUUCUCUCCCUCAUUCUAACAAACAAAAAUGUCCCUAAACAAAUAUUGUGCUUGCUUAUUUCUGUUUUUUAAAAUGUUUUAUGUAUCAAUAACUUUUUAAAAAUAUUCUUUACAUUUCUGAAACUAAAUUUUCUGUUUUUCUAGUUCAGCUGGAAGUCUUAUUUACUAUUCCAGACUAGAAAUGGUCUGUAUUUGGGUACAGAGUGCCGUGUAGUCAUGGCAGUGCCAGAAGUGGCCUUAGUUAAGAUAGAACCUGAUGUAUCAUUAUUUACACAACAAAUGAUGUCUGCCUCCAACAGAGAGUGAGGUGUUUUAUGACCACAGGCUUUAUGAGUUGUAGCUAUAAAAUAAUCAGUCUUUUGAAGCAAACAUACCACAAUGUCUGUAUCUAAAAGGAAACUGUCCUUUAGGGCUGUGACCUUGGGAAACUUUGCACACAUGCUGACCUAUAAAAUAUAUUUAAAUUAUUCACAGGAAACAUCUUGCAGUCGCUCAGCAUUCCCGCUCUGUCCCUCUCCUCUUCUUUCCCCACUUCCUUUCUCUCAGCCUCUCUCCCUUUCCCUUUCUCCUUUCUUCUUUUUUUCUUUCACACAAUUUUAUGAUGCACUUCAUUCUCAACUAAAAGUAUUUUCUCUGUCUUGAUAACCAAGACCAUGUUCUAGAUAAUCUGGCUGUGAAUGCCUUUGGCUGUCAGAAAAUUCCAUCCCUGAAAUGACAGUGUGGAGUUGGUACAUGAACAUAACACAUCUGAGUUCCUUUUUUUCAUCCCUUAUCCCUUUCCUCCUUUCCCUGCCUCUGUCUCUUGAUACCCUUCCCCUUCGGAAAAGCUCUCCCUACUUCUAACUUGUUCUUUAUUUUGUCUCUGGGUUUCUCAUGUGAGAGAAACAAUGUGAUAUUUAAUGUUGUGUGUCUGAUUUAUUUUACUUAACAUUAUAGUGUCAAGGUGGAUUCAUUUCUUACUGCAAACAUGUACAAAAGAAAAAAGGAAGAGAAUCAAGAGAUGGGUGGAGGGAGAGGGAAGGAAGGGACAGGGGAUGAAAAAAGGAAUUAAGAUGUGUGAUGUACAUGCACUAACUCCACACAAGGAAUGCAAACAUUAUGUGCUACACACACAAAAUAAAAAGACAAACAAAAAAACAUUGUUACCACUGAAGAAGUUAAAGAAACUAAAGGCCUGCUGACCCUGACCACUGUACUCAAAGAAGAACUGCAAAGAUAGUUGGAAAUUGCCAGCAUCCUUAGAAUAAAUAAUGACCUUCCAGGAUGCUAUUUUUAAGGACACUGAAACAUCUAAUUAUUAAGAUAUUUAUAAAAUGAAAGUUAACCAAAUCUACUUCAUGUCCCAAUUUGUUUCUAACACUGCUCAUGUUACCUACCACUUCAUUUUGAAGUUAUGGUCACUACCUUCUUCUGUUCGUUUUGCUAAACACUGGUCAACCAGUCAAAAGCAGCCACACUCAAAAGUAAGGAUGAUACAUGAUAAAUACUGUGUGGGUGAAAGUAUGCAGAAGCACUCAUUUUUAUGCAAUAUGGAGGCAAUGUAAAUUGGACACUUUAGAGGAUAAGUUGGGAGUAUAAAAAUUGAAACUGCACUUUUCUUUUAUUCUACAAUAUGGUUUGAGUUCUUUUUUUUAUAGACAUGCUUACAAACUUUCAUAAACAUAUAUGCCCAUUUAAUUGCAGCAUUGUGAUAGGAAAAUACUAAAAACAAAGUAAAUGUUCAGCAGGGAAAUAGUUAAAUAAAUUAUGGCUUAUCUGAAAAACUAAAUAUACAACAUUUGAAAUGCAAAAUAGUGUAUAUAUAUACACACACAUCUGCAAAUAUCUGUAAAACUUAUUGUUAAAUUAAAAGUCCAUGUUAAAAAAUAUAUUUCUCUUUUAAAAGCACACACAAAAUUUUUUUUAAAAGGCCAUGUUUCUGUGUGCUCACUUAUACUAAAUAUGUGGAAAGUCACAUAAGAAAAUAUGAUAG